rnacentral:rRNA from 1 species
CUACGGGAGGCUGCAGUGGGGAAUAUUGCACAAUGGGCGCAAGCCUGAUGCAGCAACGCCGCGUGAGGGAUGAAGGCCUUCGGGUUGUAAACCUCUUUUAGCAGGGAAGAAGCGAAGGUGACGGUACCUGCAGAAAAAGCACCGGCUAACUACGUGCCAGCAGCCGCGGUAAUACGUAGGGUGCAAGCGUUGUCCGGAAUUAUUGGGCGUAAAGAGCUCGUAGGCGGUUUGUCACGUCUGCUGUGAAAAUCCAAGGCUCAACCUUGGACUUGCAGUGGAUACGGGCAGGCUAGAGUGCGGUAGGGGAGAUGGGAAUUCCUGGUGUAGCGGUGGAAUGCGCAGAUAUCAGGAGGAACACCAAUGGCGAAGGCACAUCUCUGGGCCGUAACUGACGCUGAGGAGCGAAAGCGUGGGGAGCGAACAGGAUUAGAUACCCCAGUAGUC